rnacentral:rRNA from 1 species
AAAUCUGGGGGCUUAACCCCCAAACUGCUAUUGAAACUGUUCUUCUUGAGUGGAGUAGAGGUAGGCGGAAUUCCCGGUGUAGCGGUGAAAUGCGUAGAGAUCGGGAGGAACACCAGUGGCGAAGGCGGCCUACUGGGCUCUAACUGACGCUGAGGCACGAAAGUGUGGGUAGCAAACAGGAUUAGAUACCCUGGUAGUCCACACCGUAAACGAUGAUUACUAGGUGUGGGGGGUCUGACCCCCUCCGUGCCGGAGUUAACACAAUAAGUAAUCCACCUGGGGAGUACGGCCGCAAGGUUGAAACUCAAAGGAAUUGACGGGGGCCCGCACAAGCAGUGGAGUAUGUGGUUUAAUUCGAAGCAACGCGAAGAACCUUACCAGGUCUUGACAUCCAACUAACGAGGUAGAGAUACAUCAGGUGCCCUUCGGGGAAAGUUGAGACAGGUGGUGCAUGGUUGUCGUCAGCUCGUGUCGUGAGAUGUUGGGUUAAGUCCCGCAACGAGCGCAACCCUUGUGAUUAGUUGCUACGCAAGAGCACUCUAAUCAGACUGCCGUUGACAAAAC